UAUAAAUAAUAUACUCCCUACUCAUCUCUUUUAGAGAAAUCAACAAUUCAGAGACUUCUUCCCCAAAUAGAAAAAAAACAAGUUUAAGCGAGAGACGAGAGAGCAGAGCGUUGUCCUCUCCUCUCCAAUGGCGUUGAUUUUUUUGAAGAAAGAAUAAGAUGAUUCAGAACUGGAUUUGGGAGUUGGGAUGAGAUGACAGAGACCCAAACAACAACAAUGAUCAGUUUGAAUAAAGAUGAAGAGGAAGAAGACUCACACUGCUUAAGGUUUUGUUUCUAUCAUUAACACCACAAUCCAUCAGAGAUGGUUUGAAGAAUGGUGAAGAAGACGACUCAGACUGCUUAAGGAUUUUAAACAAUGGCAAGGGAGGGCUAAGUAACCAUCCUGCAUACAGGGAGAAAUCUUCAAUUGCUUUUAAGUAACGAAGUAUAUUAUAUGGUUCCUUUACCUCCGAUGGAAAAAAUCUUUUUCUUGCUCUUGCAGCCAGCCUAUUGGAAGGUGUCCUAGAAUUGUCGACACCACUAUUAUUAACAGACUUUCAGGCGUUAGAUCAGAGAUGGUUUGAAGAAUUAUGAAGAAGACGACUCAGACUGCUUAAGGAAUUUCAUCAUCUUUAAACUAUGGCAAGGGAGGGCUAAGUAACCAGCCUGCAUUACAGAGAGACAUCUUCUAUUGCUUUAACUAAUGAAGUGUCUAACGAAUUAAGCAGAGCUGAAAGAUAUGGUUUGAAGAAUGAACGCAGUUUCAUAAUAAAAACUUGGCCGAGGGUCGUGCUCUCUCACGGUAACAACAUCAAACUGAUUCUAGUGAUUGAUGGUCUUUGACUCAAUACAAAUUAUACAAUACGUCUUCCCUUUCCACUUGUAAUUCCCCUUUUGGUAAGUGUUAGUCUAAUUUCCCUUUAAAGUUAAUUCUUUGUUACGCAAUUCAGAUCAGAUAGAGGUAUUGAUGUUUUUCUACAUUCUUUUGGAAUCAUGGGAGUGUUCCUUCUGCUUUGUAUUGCAGACUAUCAAUUUUGGCUAUGGUCGUACUGAUGAUAUUCCUCUUGACCUACUACCGGGAUCUGGUAUACAGGAUUUGAAGAAGCAAGAGAAUGAGCUUCCAAGCCAAAGAAGCUGAGCUCGAACACGAAAGCAGGUGAUGAUUUAUUUUGUCUCUCUGUACGAUCUGAAGCGGAAAGAGGAUGUUGCUGCACAAGGAUCUAAGCGGAAAGCGGUUGUUGCUGCACAAGGAUCUGAAGCGGAGAGAGGAUGCUGCUGCACAAGGAUCUGAAGCGGAAAGAGGAUGCUGCUGCUUAAGGAGUUUUAUCUUUAAACAAUGGCAAGGGAGGGCUAUGUAACCAGCCAGCAUACAGAGAGACAUCUUCUAUUGCUUUAACCAAUGAAGUGUGUUUGACUUAAGCAGAUCAGAGCGAUAUGGUUUAAAGAAUGAAUGAAGUUUCAUAAUAAAAAACUUGGCCUAGGGGCCAAAACAUUUUCGAUUGAUGCUCUUUGAUUCGGUACAAUACGUCUUCCUUUGUCCACUUCGAAUUCCCCAUCCAUAAUUCUUCUCUAGAUGGAGAUAUUAUAUGGUUACCUUUCCUCCGAUGGAAUAAUGCUCUUUUUUCUCCAAACUACAUCUUCAAACAAUGGCAAGGACUAACCAGCAUGCAUGAGUCAUCUUCAAUAGCUUCAACGGAAGUUUCUAAGCAGAUCGUGGAGGCACCGGGAAAGAUAUAGUGAUAUGCCAAAUCUUUGUUCUGUUAUUUUGAAGGACACCUUUGAUAUAUGUCGCGCUUCCUGUUACCUCUUUUACGAUCGUCAUCGAGUCGAGGCACUGUGAUUGCUAUGCUGAAUCUUCUCGUUUCGUUUAUCAUCUGUGUUUAGGUACUUUUUUGUUGCAGUAUGAAACACACUUAUGCUGGACUUGAUGAAGAUGUGAUCAGGUUUCCUUCUCCUUAUCUUCUCUGUAUUUCAUGGCGAUGCUGUCAGUGACAAGGAGAAGGUGAGAUCGUAUCGGGAGAAGAUUUUGAAAUGGCAAAAUCAAGUAUCUGAAAGACUGCAAGCUUUGGGUAAGCGGACAGGUAAGAAAUUUGAUUUUUGACCUUUUUUCAUAUAAAUAUGAAAAAGCACAAGUGAAUUCACAUUGAUGGUUGUUUCUUUUGCUUGUUUCUGGCAUCAAUGGAGUUCAUAUUUUGUAGGUGUUGAAAUGUCUGAGAAUAAGAGAACUGUAGAUCUCCAUCUGCAGCUUCAAUUUCCUGCAAGCCUAAAACCUGUUAUAUAAUCUGGAAAUUUCCACUAUGAAUAAACACGACAAUAGUGGAUGGAAAAGCCCAUCUGCGAAAUGGAUGGGUGAAUUGCUGGACUUGAUGGAGCUAAACAACCUUCACGGUUACAUUGCGGCAAAGCGAAGAGAUUUGUUGUUCAUUGGACUCCGGAGACCAGCUAGAGGUGGGCUGAAAAACUACAUAAACCGGUGUUUCAAGUUGCAAUAUUCAGGUAACCUUCUGUGGUUUUUAUGGAUGAGGUAUGUACUUUUUUCCCUUUCAUGUCGUAUAAGUUAAAUUAAGUUAAAUCAUGUCGUAAAUUGUCUUACCUAAGUUUUAGACAAUUUAGCAUUUAAGUUGUAUUUGAGACGGAAGUGCUCUCCCUCUGGCAUAUCACGCCAGAAAUUUGUCUGAACUUUUUUCAUUCUGGUUUUUCUAUUCUCUAGCGUUUGUUGCAGUUGGUAUAUAUGUCGAGUUUUGGCUAUAUCCUUGCAGUGAAGCUGCAAAAAGUAAAAAGAAAAAAGAGGAAGACAGUGAGUUAGACAAACCUUUUAUGAUGCCUACAAUUGAAACCAGUCAUGUUUCCCUUUCAUGUCGUAUAAGUUACUGAACUUUUUUCA